rnacentral:rRNA from 1 species
GACGUAGGACGCGAGCGUUGUCCGGAUUUAUUGGGCGUAAAGAGCUCGUAGGCGGCUUGUCGCGUCGACUGUGAAAUCCCGCGGCUCAACUGCGGGUCUGCAGUCGAUACGGGCAGGCUAGAGUUCGGUAGGGGAGACUGGAAUUCCUGGUGUAGCGGUGAAAUGCGUAGAUAUCGAGAGGAACACCUGAGGUGAAGACGGGUUGCUGGGCCGACACUGACGCUGAGUGCGCGAAAGCCAGGGGAGCAAACGGG